rnacentral:misc_RNA from 1 species
AAGUUUCAUUUAUACGUAAUUAAUAAUCGAUUAGGGAUCAUUUAUUAGAAUGGAAGAAAAAUCUAAAUUAAAUGGUAAUAUCAUAAUCGUGAUAAAAACAAUGGGGAUAUUUACGUCGACGAUAAUAUUAUUGUUAUGUUUUUUAAUUGGUGUCUCGUUAUAAUGUGUUUAUGUGUGUUGGAACCAAGAAGAAAGACUUCAAAGAAAGAAAGAGAAAGAAAGAGAGAGAGAGAGGAAGAAAUAUGCGUUGUUUGUUUACGAAAGGAAAAGGUCGCAUAUCGACGUAACGUAGCAUUCCUUUUGAAUUAAGAGGACAGUUUCGUUCGAAUGCUCGACGAACGAGCACGGUCGUUUCGUAUAAAAGGGAAGUUAAACGUCAAGGAAGCUUUUGAGAUAGGUGAAAAGUUGAAAAUGUUAACAAGUUUAGCGAUGAAUCGAUGGAAUGAGGUAAAGAAAAGUCGUAACUACUACAUACGCGUGUGCAACGUUUUUCAAGCACGUGUUUCGACGUCAUUACACAAUUUCAUGUUUCUCGUGCGGGAUUAAAAAGAAGAAGAAGAAGAAGAAGAAGAAGUAAAGGUUGAAGGUAUUACCUCGUGGGACAUUAUCGAAGUUCCAUUUUAAACGUGUCGUGUGCGUAAACGUAUGUACGCGUGUGUACGUGGCUGGAACGAAAAGUAUGCGGCACCGUGCAAGAUGAAGGGGCCAAGAAUCAGUGGCCUACCGAAAGAGAAAAAGUUGGACUUUUGCCAAAAGGCACGUCAGGAGUGUUGGCGAGUGUUGCUUACGUACUUGAGCUUCUGUGCGUUGCUGCCCGGAACCAUUCUUUCAGAGCCUGCUCAUGUACGCGAAAUGUCCAAAGGAAAUUCUCGUAGGAAUGUAAACGAUCCCACCACUAACGAUUACGUCGACACGGAUUUGCCUAUUUUCGAGCCGACUGCUUCAAAUGUUACGGCCUUCGUUGGACAAACUGUGUAUCUGCCAUGCAGAGUGAGAAAAUUGGCCGACAAAGUGGUGUCUUGGAUGAGAAUCAGAGACCUUCAUAUACUUACAGCAGGUACCGCAGCCUUCAGUAGUGAUACGAGGUUCAGUCCUCAACAUACUCCGGGGAGUGAUGCUUGGACCCUCAGGUUGGAUAAUGUUAAAAAGACGGAUUCGGGUAUAUACGAAUGUCAAGUUAACACGGAACCGAAGAUUAUGUAUGCAGUUCAAUUAUCAGUGAGAGAGGCAGAUAAACCAGAGGGUUACGACGAACCUCGUUCUCAACAAACACGCAUAAGUUACGAAAGUACGGCACCAGUGGCGGCUAUAAUGGGUCCUAGAGAGCAAAGGGUACCAUCGGGAUCGACGAUCACCCUAAGAUGCGUCAUAUCGUCUCCAUAUCAGACUCGUCCCAUCAGGGGUGUACAAUGGCUUCGGGAUAACAAACUCCUAACAUUCCAGGAGAACGUACGGAAGCCAUGCAACGUGACGCCGGAUACGUUUCUUCCGGAAAUGACGUCAGCCGCUGGUCCGGGUUUCUACUUCCGUUGUCGUGGUACCUAAUACUGGCAUGAAUGAAAUGGCCAAACUUUACCGCGAUGAGUCAGAACACGUUCAAAAUUGGCAUAACAAGACAACGCGCUCGCGUAAACUUUCGAUGUAGGCCAGGAUGACUACGACGACGACGACUACGACGACGACUACGACGUGGUGGACAGAAUUGGUGCACGAUUAUGCGCGACGAUGCCAGCCAACCAACCAAACCAACCAACCAACCAACCAGCCAGAGCCUCGAUCGAACGGAUUCAAGCGUUGAAUGUUGCUCGAUGAUGACGGAAAUGGAAACAUGAAAAUGCAUUACACAAUAUUAACCAAAUUUUGUCUAAUCGUAUAAACGUAUUUGUUAUAUAACAUAAAUAUAUUAGUCACGUGUUUUUGUCACUUGUAGAUGACAAUAAAAAAAAAAAGUAAGUAAAUGUAGAAAACCUUAUAAAAGAUUGGAUGAGAGGGUGAGACUAAAAUUGGUAAUUGAACUGAUCGAACACGAGUUAAAAGUGUUCGAUAUAUGGAUUAAAAAAAAGAAAAGGUUGCUUAUCGUACGUUGCUUAUCACUUUUUUUUAUUCGACUUUAUUAACAGUAUCUAGUAUAUAAUGGUAGUUGUAAUCGAUUAAAAUGCUUGUUACGUGAGCAGAGCUAUCAUACGACAGUUUUUUUGGUGAGAGAUUAACAGUUCUAGGUUUGCGAUUCGGUUACGAUGAAGAAGAGGAGUGGGAACGGGGUGGGGAAAAAGGGGUGGUUUGGGUAGAAAGAGGAAAGAGAUAGGCGGCACUUAAGCGGUGCUAAGGUAGCUGGAUAAAAUAACACUAAAUUUAUGAGAGACCGUGAAUCAACGUGCUUUAUGAUUGCUCGAGUAACGAACGAUAAAUGGUGGUGGGUGAGUGGGUGGAUGAUAGAAGGAAGAGGAGGAGGNGGAGAAGGAGGUGGAGGAGGAGGAUGGGUAUGCGUCCCAGCGUUGUUUGGGUCAGCACGAAUCGAACGAGGUUUUCCCCACCAAUUGAAGAGAGGUACUAGUUACUCUGAGAGGAAAAGAGAUACUGAAAUAGUAUCGGGGUGAAAGGGUGAGGGGUAGGGGGGAUAUAGAGAAAGACGGACGGAAAAAGAGGGAAGUUGAAAAUUGGAAAACUGUAUUGUGUCCGGCAGCUGCUUCUCGCUCUUCUGGGACACAUUCGUUAGUGGCCACGUAUAGCGACGAUAAAUUUCACGCAUACCCCGUAUUUCUAUCUUUCGUUUCUAUCUUUCUCUCUCUCUCUCUAUCUAUCUCUAUCUCUUUUACAUUCUCUCGUUGCCAAAGUUCGAAUUAAAGAUCAACUUAUUACAGGAUUAUCGGUAUUUCGUGCGUGCUCAAUUUUACGAAAAAAAUAACAAAAAAACUUGGGCCGAGUAGUACUAGCGAGUAAAUAUUUUUGAAUUUGUCCUAAAAAUCGAAUCGUUUCUACGCUCUUUUUUUAUUAUUUCAUGUUUUUUUUUUAUGGUUGCCAAAAGAAAGGAUCAAAUUUUAUGGAGAGAGAGAGAGAAUUGGACAGUUAGGGGGAUUUUUACCUUGAAACUUCAUCCGUACGCGUACGAGAUUCGCGUAUGUUGCUCGUACACAUCGCGUGUAACCCUGUAUAUGUUAUGUCUAAAAAACAAAAAACAAAAAAAAAGGAAAAAGUGAUCGUUUCAACGCGAUGCGGAGGUUUUUUUAUUUUUUUUUUGUUUUUUGUUUUACGCAAGGUAGUUUUAAGCUAGGGGUAGUUGUUCGAGGACAAAUUUUGGGGUAUCCGUGACGAUCGGGUGCCGACUAAUUUAGACUGGCUGUUUUCCACCGCUAUGUUGAGGAAGGGUAGGAGAAUGAGGGGUGGUGGAGGUUUAGGAAAAAAAAGAGUAAAAAAAAAAAAUUGUUUUGCCAAUAAAGUGUUUGCCAUCUUGCCCCGUUAACGUGCGAUUCAAUUUCGUUGUAACGAAUAGCCGAAGCACCGAACGCGCUAGUAACUACUCUCUCUCACUCUCUCUCUCUCUCUCUUUCUCUCGUUCGUUCGUUCGUUCGUUCGUUCGUCUACACUAUCCAUGUUCAAUUCUCCCCUUCUCUUGUGACCCCUCUUGCGAGAGGUUUCUAGGGGUUGGUCCUCUCUUUCUCUCUCUCUCUCACCCCCCCAUGACUGGUUCGCUGACCCCUUUCAACCGUAGCAGCACCGUGAAAAGCUCCAAUGGCUCUUGGCUAUCGAAAAACAAUUAAACCGAUAAAAUAUCGACAAACACGACCGGAUAGACGGCUGAUACUUUAUCGGUCGCACGAGAAACCCUUCCCCCCUCAGGCGCCCUAUCCACUACCCUGUUCGAUCGCGCGCGAUUUUGUUCGCCGAUCGUUAUCUACUACUUCCUAGGAUUCCACCAACCAAACACACCUCCCCAACUCACCCUUCUUCUUGCUUUCCAUUUCCUUUUCUUUUGCCUGAGAUUCUAACG